GUUCAUCAGACAGCAGCCAGACACAAACAUGACCUUAUGCCACAUCUUCACCGACGCCGCUCUGGGUUUGAUGGCUUUAAUGGGAAACACAAAUGCUAAUGUUGAUUUGAAUCAGAACUCUGCGAACCAACCAGGAUUCUUGAAUGGACCCAAAGCUGUUCUUACGAAGAAUAGCCCGCAGACGAACUAAGCGAACUUCGAGUGAGCGCCCGCGGC